rnacentral:rRNA from 1 species
AGUGAACGCUGGCGGUAUGCCUAACACAUGCAAGUCGAACGGCAGCACAGUAAGAUCUUGCUCUUACGGGUGGCGAGUGGCGGACGGGUGAGGAAUACAUCGGAAUCUACUUUUUCGUGGGGGAUAACGGAGGGAAACUUACGCUAAUACCGCAUAUGACCUACGGGUGAAAGCAGGGGAUCUUCGGACCUUGCGCGAUUGAAUGAGCCGAUGUCGGAUUAGCUAGUUGGCGGGGUAAGGGCACACCAAGGCGACGAUCCGUAGCUGGUCUGAGAGGAUGAUCAGCCACACUGGAACUGAGACACGGUCCAGACUCCUACGGGAGGCAGCAGUGGGGAAUAUUGGGCAAUGGGCGCAAGCCUGAUCCAGCCAUACCGCGUGGGUGAAGAAGGCCUUCGGGUUGUAAAGCCCUUUUGUUGGGAAAGAAAAGCAGCAGGUUAAUCCCCCGCUGUUCUGACGGUACCCAAAGAAUAAGCACCGGCUAACUUCGUG